GCCGGGCGUGGUGGCGCACGCCUUUAAUCCCAGCACUUGGGAGGCAGAGGCAGGCGAAUUUCUGAGUUCAAGGCCAGCCUGGUCUACAGAGUGAGUUCCAGGACAUCCAGGACUACACAGAGAAACCUGUCUUGAAAAAAAAAAAAAGAGACGGAAGUUGUCCUGGAAGUUCUGGGGUUCUUGCUAUACAGACCAUGAUGGCCUUGAACUCACAGAUAUCUGCCUGUCU
rnacentral:lncRNA from 1 species